rnacentral:rRNA from 1 species
AAGUGGCGCACGGGUGAGUAACGCGUGGGGACCUACCUCUUAGUGGGGGAUAACGGUUGGAAACGACCGCUAAUACCGCAUACGCCCUUCGGGGGAAAGAUUUAUCGCUAAGAGAUGGACCCGCCGUUGGAUUAGAUAGUUGGUGAGGUAACGGCUCACCAAGUCAGCGAUCCAUAGCUGGUUUGAGAGGAUGAUCAGCCACACUGGGACUGAGACACGGCCCAGACUCCUACGGGAGGCAGCAGUGGGGAAUAUUGGACAAUGGGGGCAACCCUGAUCCAGCCAUGCCGCGUGAGUGAAGAAGGCCUUCGGGUUGUAAAGCUC